GUAGGUGGCAAGCGUUGUCCGGAAUUAUUGGGCGUAAAGCGCGCGCAGGCGGUUCUUUAAGUCUGAUGUGAAAGCCCACGGCUCAACCGUGGAGGGUCAUUGGAAACUGGAGAACUUGAGUACAGAAGAGGAAAGCGGAAUUCCACGUGUAGCGGUGAAAUGCGUAGAGAUGUGGAGGAACACCAGUGGCGAAGGCGGCUUUCUGGUCUGUAACUGACGCUGAGGCGCGAAAGCGUGGGGGCAAACAGGGAUUAGAUACCCUGGUAGUCCACGCCGUAAACGAUGAGUGCUAAGUGUUAGGGGGUUUCCGCCCCCUUAGUGCUGCAGCUAACGCAUUAAGCACUCCGCCUGGGGAUACGGCCGCAAGGCUG
rnacentral:rRNA from 1 species